UGCAGGCACGGUGAACUAAUUACAUAGCUGUUCCUUCCCUACCACAGACAUUUGGUUAACCACAGGGCUUCUUUGGAUACUCCUAGGGCACUCCUGCCCUGACACUGCUCAGGAGAAGAAAAGGCAAUAGGAAUUAGAACAAAAAUUAGAAUUCUGAUUGUCUUGUUUUCUUUUCUAAAUUAAUAUUUUUAGGCACAAAGUGAAAUAGAUAUAAACGUAUACUUAAAGGGCACCAGAAGACCUAUAAAUAGAGACUGCUAGAAGUACCACUAAAUAAUUUAAUACCAACUUCAACAGCCACUCUUUCCUUCAGUGCCUCCGCCUGUCUUUGCUGUACCCAUGAUCCACAGGACUGGAGCCGUCCCCAAGGUGAGUGCCAGGAUGUUUUGAAACUGGGACACACUGUACAGGGGUGACCAAAGGAAUCUGCUUUUCAAUACCACACUGCCUGCCGCAACCUAAUGUCACUGCAGGGCUUAACACUGAGUAAAUGCUGUGUGUUUUAA